rnacentral:rRNA from 1 species
UACGGGGGGGGCAAGCGUUGUUCGGAAUUACUGGGCGUAAAGGGCUCGUAGGCGGCCAACUAAGUCGGAUGUGAAAUCCCCAGGCUCAACCUGGGAACUGCAUCCGAUACUGGAUGGCUUGAAUUCGGGAGAGGGAUGCAGAAUUCCAGGUGUAGCGGUGAAAUUCGUAGAUAUUCGGAAGAACACCAGUGGCGAAGGCGACUUACUGGACACAUAUUGACGCUGAGGUGCGAAAGCGUGGGGAGCGAACAGG